GCACCGCUGAUGCCUAUUAACCUCAUCAUCUCUGGCUCUGAACGUUAAAACCUGCCAAGCAGCACCCUCUACAGUUCACAUCUGAAAACCAAGCUUUAUGCUCCACAUGACAGCCAUGGGGAGCUGGGGAGCUGGAGCCAAUCCCAGCUGACAUAGGGGGAGGAAAGGCACGGUACAACCUGGACAGGAGGAUGGCUCCAGCAGACGAGGAACAGCUCUGCCCACGUAAACCAAUCCAAUUGCGAUCCCAGUGCAAAAGCAAACAAUCACAUUGAGAGAACGUCAACGAAGAAGACAGUAGUGACAUCAGGGUGGAGCGAGAGAUCAUGUGACUCUAAGUACUAUUAUUUAAUUAUUAUUAUUCAGAUCACAUAUAUAUGGUAUAUACAGUAGAACAGUCUUCCUGCUCUUUCCGCCAAGUACCACCAGAGGAAGCACACGUACUACUGGUGGUACACGUACAACAGCUUGAGAACCACGGCUCUAGGCGCUCGAAGGUCAUGAACGGCACUCGGAGGAGUGUCAUUACAUACAUUACAAAAAACACCUCUUCCUGUUGAGACUGUGUGUGUGUUUGGUGACUCAGACGACAGAAGGUCCCGCAUAGAUUCACAUAAUUCACACAUACAAACCACACUGUGCCAGUGUUUAGUGUGGUCUGUGCU